rnacentral:rRNA from 1 species
UUCCGGUUGAUCCCGCCGGAGGCCAUUGCUAUCGGAGUCCGAUUUAGCCAUGCUAGUUGCACGAGUUCAGACUCGUGGCAUAUAGCUCAGUAACACGUGGCCAAACUACCCUACAGACCGCGAUAACCUCGGGAAACUGAGGCCAAUAGCGGAUACAGNUCUCAUGCUGGAGUGCAGAGAGCUGGAAACGUUCCGGCGCUGUAGGAUGUGGCUGCGGCCGAUUAGGUAGAUGGUGGGGUAACGGCCCACCAUGCCGAUAAUCGGUACAGGUUGUGAGAGCAAGAGCCUGGAGACGGUAUCUGAGACAAGAUACCGGGCCCUACGGGGCGCAGCAGGCGCGAAACCUUUACACUGCACGACAGUGCGAUAGGGGGACUCCGAGUGUGAGGGCAUAUAGCCCUCGCUUUUCUGUACCGUAAGGUGGUACAAGAAUAAGGACUGGGCAAGACCGGUGCCAGCCGCCGCGGUAAUACCGGCAGUCCAAGUGAUGGCCGAUAUUAUUGGGCNUAAAGCGUCCGUAGCUGGCUGUGUAAGUCCAUUGGGAAAUCGACCAGCUCAACUGGUCGACGUCCGGUGGAAACUGCACAGCUUGGGGCCGAGAGACUCAACGGGUACGUCCGGGGUAGGAGUGAAAUCCUGUAAUCCUGGACGGACCACCAAUGGGGAAACCACGUUGAGGGACCGGACCCGACAGUGAGGGACGAAAGCCAGGGUCUCGAACCGGAUUAGAUACCCGGGUAGUCCUGGCUGUAAACAAUGCUCGCUAGGUAUGUCACGCGCCAUGAGCACGUGAUGUGCCGUAGUGAAGACGAUAAGCGAGCCGCCUGGGAAGUACGUCUGCAAGGAUGAAACUUAAAGGAAUUGGCGGGGGAGCACCACAACCGGAGGAGCCUGCGGUUUAAUUGGAUUCAACGCCG